rnacentral:rRNA from 1 species
GACGAACGCUGGCGGCGUGCUUAACACAUGCAAGUCGAACGGAAAGGCCUUUUCGGCGGUACUCGAGUGGCGAACGGGUGAGUAACACGUGGGUGAUCUGCCCUGCACUCUGGGAUAAGCCUGGGAAACUGGGUCUAAUACCGGAUAGGACCGCACUUUAGUGUGCGUGGUGGAAAGUUUUUUCGGUGUAGGAUGAGCCCGCGGCCUAUCAGCUUGUUGGUGGGGUAAUGGCCUACCAAGGCGGCGACGGGUAGCCGGACUGAGAGGUUGGUCGGCCACAUUGGGACUGAGAUACGGCCCAGACUCCUACGGGAGGCAGCAGUGGGGAAUAUUGCACAAUGGGCGCAAGCCUGAUGCAGCGACGCCGCGUGGGGGAGGACGGCCUUCGGGUUGUAAACUCCUUUCGCCAGGGACGAAGCGUUUUGUGACGGUACCUGGAGAAGAAGCACCGGCUAACUCUGUG